rnacentral:rRNA from 1 species
CCUACGGCGGCAGCAGUGGGGAAUAUUGGACAAUGGGGGCAACCCUGAUCCAGCCAUGCCGCGUGUGUGAAGAAGGCCCUCGGGUUGUAAAGCACUUUCAGUGAGGAAGAACGCCUGGUGGUUAAUACCCAUCAGGAAAGACAUCACUCACAGAAGAAGCACCGGCUAACUCCGUGCCAGCAGCCGCGGUAAUACGGAGGGUGCGAGCGUUAAUCGGAAUUACUGGGCGUAAAGCGCGCGUAGGUGGCUUGAUAAGCCGGUUGUGAAAGCCCCGGGCUCAACCUGGGAACGGCAUCCGGAACUGUCAAGCUAGAGUGCAGGAGAGGAAGGUAGAAUUCCCGGUGUAGCGGUGAAAUGCGUAGAGAUCGGGAGGAAUACCAGUGGCGAAGGCGGCCUUCUGGACUGACACUGACACUGAGGUGCGAAAGCGUGGGUAGCAAACAGGAUUAGAUACCCCAGUAGUC